CUACCAGAACAUACGGGAUCCCGUCCGCUCUCCCAUAGUCAAGCUGGUAAGGGGCAGAUUAGUAGUUGGGUCGGUGACGACCA
rnacentral:rRNA from 1 species